rnacentral:rRNA from 1 species
AGUGAACGCUGGCGGUAGGCCUAACACAUGCAAGUCGAACGGCAGCACAGUAAGAGCUUGCUCUUACGGGUGGCGAGUGGCGGACGGGUGAGGAAUACAUCGGAAUCUACUUUUUCGUGGGGGAUAACGUAGGGAAACUUACGCUAAUACCGCAUACGACCUACGGGUGAAAGCAGGGGAUCUUCGGACCUUGCGCGAUUGAAUGAGCCGAUGUCGGAUUAGCUAGUUGGCGGGGUAAAGGCCCACCAAGGCGACGAUCCGUAGCUGGUCUGAGAGGAUGAUCCGCCAAACUGGAACUGAGACACGGUCCAGACUCCUACGGGAGGCAGCAGUGGGGAAUAUUGGACAAUGGGCGCAAGCCUGAUCCAGCCAUACCGCGUGGGUGAAGAAGGCCUUCGGGUUGUAAAGCCCUUUUGUUGGGAAAGAAAAGCAGCAGGUUAAUACCCCGCUGUUCUGACGGUACCCAAAGAGUAAGCACCGGCUAACUUCGUG